rnacentral:rRNA from 1 species
CUGCAUGGAGUUGGAAUCACUAGUAAUCGCGGAUCAGCAUGCCGCGGUGAAUGCGUUCUCGGGCCUUGUACACACCGCCCGUCACACCAUGAGAGUCGGGAACACCCGAAGUCCGUAGCCUAACCGCAAGGGAGGCGCGGCCGAAGGUGGGCUCGAUAAUUGGGGUGAAGUCGUAACAAGGUAAC